UACGUACAAGCAGUGGGAGCCCCACCACUAAGCCAGUGGUGAACUCCACAUACGCAUCCUUUGCUGAGGAUACGGUUAACGGAGCGAAAGCGACGUUCAACCUCAAAAGAAGCAGAGGGGGCUUAGUGGUGGGGUGACUGCGUACCUUUUGUAUAAUGGGUCAGCGACUUAUAUUCUGUAGCAAGGUUAACCGAAUAGGGGAGCCGGAGGGAAACCGAGUCUUAACCGGGCGUUAAGUUGCAGGGUAUAGACCCGAAACCCGGUGAUCUAGCCAUGGGCAGGUUGAAGGUUGGGUAACACUAACUGGAGGACCGAACCGACUAAUGUUGAAAAAUUAGCGGAUGACCUGUGGCUGGGGGUGAAAGGCCAAUCAAACCGGGAGAUAGCUGGUUCUCCCCGAAAGCUAUUUAGGUAGCGCCUCGUGAAUUCAUCUCCGGGGGUAGAGCACUGUUUCGGCUAGGGGGCCAUCCCGGCUUACCAACCCGAUGCAAACUGCGAAUACCGGAGAAUGUUAUCACGGGAGACACACGGCGGGUGCUAACGUCCGUCGUGAAGAGGGAAACAACCCAGACCGCCAGCUAAGGUCCCAAAGUCAUGGUUAAGUGGGAAACGAUGUGGGAAGGCCCAGACAGCCAGGAUGUUGGCUUAGAAGCAGCCAUCAUUUAAAGAAAGCGUAAUAGCUCACUGGUCGAGUCGGCCUGCGCGGAAGAUGUAACGGGGCUAAACCAUGCACCGAAGCUGCGGCAGCGACGCUGAUGCGUUGUUGGGUAGGGGAGCGUUCUGUAAGCCUGCGAAGGUGGCCUGUGAGGGUUGCUGGAGGUAUCAGAAGUGCGAAUGCUGACAUAAGUAACGAUAAAGCGGGUGAAAAGCCCGCUCGCCGGAAGACCAAGGGUUCCUGUCCAACGUUAAUCGGGGCAGGGUGAGUCGACCCCUAAGGCGAGGCCGAAAGGCGUAGUCGAUGGGAAACGGGUUAAUAUUCCCGUACUUGGUGUUACUGCGAAGGGGGGACGGAGAAGGCUAUGUUGGCCGGGCGACGGUUGUCCCGGUUUAAGCGUGUAGGUGUGUGUUCCAGGUAAAUCCGGUUCACUUUAACACUGAGGCGUGAUGACGAGGCACUACGGUGCUGAAGCAACAAAUGCCCUGCUUCCAGGAAAAGCCUCUAAGCAUCAGGUAACAUCAAAUCGUACCCCAAACCGACACAGGUGGUCAGGUAGAGAAUACCAAGGCGCUUGAGAGAACUCGGGUGAAGGAACUAGGCAAAAUGGUGCCGUAACUUCGGGAGAAGGCACGCUGACACGUAGGUGAAGUGAUUUACUCAUGGAGCUGAAGUCAGUCGAAGAUACCAGCUGGCUGCAACUGUUUAUUAAAAACACAGCACUGUGCAAACACGAAAGUGGACGUAUACGGUGUGACGCCUGCCCGGUGCCGGAAGGUUAAUUGAUGGGGUCAGCGCAAGCGAAGCUCCUGAUCGAAGCCCCGGUAAACGGCGGCCGUAACUAUAACGGUCCUAAGGUAGCGAAAUUCCUUGUCGGGUAAGUUCCGACCUGCACGAAUGGCGUAAUGAUGGCCAGGCUGUCUCCACCCGAGACUCAGUGAAAUUGAACUCGCUGUGAAGAUGCAGUGUACCCGCGGCAAGACGGAAAGACCCCGUGAACCUUUACUAUAGCUUGACACUGAACAUUGAGCCUUGAUGUGUAGGAUAGGUGGGAGGCUUUGAAGUGUGGACGCCAGUCUGCAUGGAGCCGGCCUUGAAAUACCACCCUUUAAUGUUUGAUGUUCUAACGUGGACCCGUGAUCCGGGUUGCGGACAGUGUCUGGUGGGUAGUUUGACUGGGGCGGUCUCCUCCUAAAGAGUAACGGAGGAGCACGAAGGUUGGCUAAUCCUGGUCGGACAUCAGGAGGUUAGUGCAAUGGCAUAAGCCAGCUUGACUGCGAGCGUGACGGCGCGAGCAGGUGCGAAAGCAGGUCAUAGUGAUCCGGUGGUUCUGAAUGGAAGGGCCAUCGCUCAACGGAUAAAAGGUACUCCGGGGAUAACAGGCUGAUACCGCCCAAGAGUUCAUAUCGACGGCGGUGUUUGGCACCUCGAUGUCGGCUCAUCACAUCCUGGGGCUGAAGUAGGUCCCAAGGGUAUGGCUGUUCGCCAUUUAAAGUGGUACGCGAGCUGGGUUUAGAACGUCGUGAGACAGUUCGGUCCCUAUCUGCCGUGGGCGCUGGAGAACUGAGGGGGGCUGCUCCUAGUACGAGAGGACCGGAGUGGACGCAUCACUGGUGUUCGGGUUGUCAUGCCAAUGGCACUGCCCGGUAGCUAAAUGCGGAAGAGAUAAGUGCUGAAAGCAUCUAAGCACGAAACUUGCCCCGAGAUGAGUUCUCCCUGAGACUUAGAGUCUCCUGAAGGAACGUUGAAGACGACGACGUUGAUAGGCCGGGUGUGUAAGCGCAGCGAUGCGUUGAGCUAACCGGUACUAAUGAACCGUGAGGCUUAACCUUACA
rnacentral:rRNA from 1 species